UACGGGGGGAGCAAGCGUUGUUCGGAUUUACUGGGCGUAAAGGGCGCGUAGGCGGCCACUGCAAGUCGGUUGUGAAAUCUCCGGGCUUAACCCGGAAAGGUCAAUCGAUACUGCGGGGCUAGAGUGCAGAAGGGGCAACUGGAAUUCUCGGUGUAGCGGUAAAAUGCGUAGAUAUCGAGAGGAACACCUGCGGCGAAGGCGGGUUGCUGGGCUGACACUGACGCUGACAGCGCGAAAGCUAGGGGAGCGAACGGG
rnacentral:rRNA from 1 species